rnacentral:lncRNA from 10 species
CUCAGGUCCCCUUCCACGCCAUGGAAGCUUUGUUCUUUUGCUCUUUGCAAUAAAUCUUGCUGCUGUUCACUCUUUGGGUCCACAUGGCCUUUAUGAGCUGUAACACUCACCAUGAAGGUCUGCAGCUUCACUCCUGAAGCCAGUGAGAUCAUGGACCCCUGGGGAGGGACGAACAACUCCAGACGCGCCACCUUUAAGAGCUGUAACACUCACUGCGAAGGUCUGCAGCUUCACUCCUGAAGUCAGCGAGACCACAAACCCACCAGAAGGAAGAAACUCCAGACACAUCUGAACAUCUGAAGGAAUGAACUCUGGACACACAAUCUUUAAGAACUGUAACACUCACUGCGAGGGUCCAUGGCUUCAUUCUUGAAGUCAGCAAGACCAAGAACCCACUAAUUCUGGACACAUUUUGGCAGCCCAGAUGGGACUAUCGCCUAUCACCAAGCGAAUCGAGGCCAUCAAGCUACAGAUGGUCUUACAAAUGGAACCCCAAAUGAGCUCAACUAACAACUUCUACUGAGGACCCCUGGACCGACCUGCUGGUCCUUCCACUGGCCUAAAGAGUUCCUCUCUGGAGGACACUACAACUGCAGGGCACCUUCUUUGCCACUAUCCAGCAGGAAGUAGCUAGAGCAGUCAUUGCCACUAUCCAGCAGGAAGUAGCUAGAGCAGUCAUUGGCCAAAUUCCCAACAGCAGUUGGGGUGUCCUGUUUAGAGGGGUGAUUGAGAGGUGACAACGUGCCAGCAGCCCUUGCUCGCUCUCAGCACCUCCUCGGCCUCGGCGUCCACUCUGGCCCCACUUGAGGAGCCCUUCAGCCCACCGCUACACUGUGGGAGCCCCUCUCUGGGCUGGCCAAGGCUGGAGCCGGCUCCCUCUGCUUGCGGGGAGGUGUGGAGGGAGAGGCACAGGUGGGAACCGAGGCUGCGCACAGCGCUCGCAGGCCAGCAUGAGUUCCAGGUGGGCGCUGGCUUGGCAGGCCCUGCAAUCAGAGUGGCCGGCCGGUGCCGUCAGCCCCGGGCAGUGAGGGGCUUAGCACCUGGGUCAGCAGCUGCGGAGGGUGCUCCGGGUCCCCCAGCACUGCCGGCCUGCCCGCGCCAUGCUCGAAUUCUCGCCAGGCCUCAGCCGCCUCCCUGUGGGGCAGGGCUUGGGACCUGCAGCCCGCCAUGCCAGAGCCUCCCCCCCGCCCUGAUCCCCCCCCACGCCCAUGGGCUCCCCUGCAGCCUGAGCCUCCCCAACGGGCACGGCCCCCUGCUCCAUGGCAACCAGUCCCGUCACCACCCAAGGGCUGAGGAGUGCAGGUGCAGGGCAUGGGACUGGCGAGGAGCUCCACCCACAGCCCUGGCGCAGGAUCCACUAGGCAAAGCCAGCUGGGCUCCUGAGUCAGGUGGGGACUUGGAGAACUUUUAUGUCUAGCUGGAAGAUUGUAAAUGCACCAAUCAGCACCCUGUAUCUAGCUCAAGGUUUGUAAACGCACCAAUCAGUGCUCUGUGUCUAGCUAAUCUAGUGGAGACUUGGAGAACUUUUAUGUCUAGCUGGAAAAUUGUAAAUGCACCAAUCAGCACUUUGUGUUUAGCUCAAGGUUUGUAAACGCACCAGUCAGCACCCUGUUAAAGUGGGCCAAUCAGCUCUCUGUAAAACGGGCCAAUCAGCUCUCUGUAAAACAGAUCAAUCAGCAGGAUGUGGGUGGGGUCAGAUAAGGGAAUAAAAGCAGGCUGCCUGAGCCAGCAGUGGUGACCCGCUGGGGUCCUCUUCCACACUGUGGAAGCUUUGUUUCUUCACUCUUCACAAUAAAUCUUGCUGCUGCUCACUCUUUGGGUCCGCGUGGCCUUUAUGAGCUGUAACACGCACCACGAAGGUCUGCAGCUUCACUCCUGAAGUCAGCGAGACCACGAACCCACCAGAAGGAAGAAACUCCGGACACAUCUGAACAUCUAAAGGAACAAACUCUGGACACACCAUCUUUAAGAACUGUAACACUCACUGCAAGGGUCUGCGGCUUCAUUUUUGAAGUCAGCGAGACCAAGAACCCACUAAUUCUGGACACAGCAGCUACUUGGGAGGCUGACGUAGGAGAAUCCCUUGAACCUGGGAGGUGGAGGUUGCAGUGAGCUGAGAUUGCAUCACUGCAAUCCAGCCUGGAGACAGAGCAAGACUAAGUCUCAAAAAAACAAAACAAAACAAAAAACAAACAAACCCAAAGUCUUACUAUGGCAUCAAAGAAGAAUAAAUUCUGAAUGAUGAGAGUUUUGUAUCAGAGUUAGAAAUUUGAGCUGGGCUGGCUGGGUGUGG